GCUGCUGCGACCAGGGAUUUUGUUUAGACGAUACAGGGUUCAAAUCAUCGGGAAUCAGCAUCGGGACACUGAAGCGAAAUAUGAAGAAUCUCUACUGAUUUCACAGGUUUUCUUUUUGAGGUACAAUAUAUCCUCAGGCCAAAUUUAAAUGGACACCUUUACACACGAUUCAAUCUCGAACCAAACAAGACAGCUAAUAAAGUUGUGAAAGCAUUGAAGGUGUGGAAAUUUGAAAACAAGAGGAGGGGGAAAGUAUGGAGUCUUGAGCUUCAUCUUAUGGAACAGAGUGUGAGUAUCUUUUGCCCUCUAACCAACAACUGGUUAUCAGAUAGUUUCUUAGGUUUACAUCUACAAGAGAGGUUUUCGAUUUCCUGGCUUUAGGUGAUGUUACUAGCAGGAAGAA